UAGGGAAUCUUCGGCAAUGGACGAAAGUCUGACCGAGCAACGCCGCGUGAGUGAAGAAGGUUUUCGGAUCGUAAAACUCUGUUGUUAGAGAAGAACAAGGACGUUAGUAACUGAACGUCCCCUGACGGUAUCUAACCAGAAAGCCACGGCUAACUACGUGCCAGCAGCCGCGGUAAUACGUAGGUGGCAAGCGUUGUCCGGCUUUAUUGGGCGUAAAGCGAGCGCAGGCGGUUUCUUAAGUCUGAUGUGAAAGCCCCCGGCUCAACCGGGGAGGGUCAUUGGAAACUGGGAGACUUGAGUGCAGAAGCGGAGAGUGGAAUUCCAUGUGUAGCGGUGAAAUGCGUAGAUAUAUGGGGGAACAACAGUGGAGAAGGCGGCUCUCUGGUCUGUAACUGACGCUGAGGCUCGAAAGCGUGGGGAGCAAACAGG
rnacentral:rRNA from 1 species